rnacentral:rRNA from 1 species
UGGCGGCGUGCCUAAUACAUGCAAGUCGAACGAGUUCUCGUUGAUGAUCGGUGCUUGCACCGAGAUUCAACAUGGAACGAGUGGCGGACGGGUGAGUAACACGUGGGUAACCUGCCCUUAAGUGGGGGAUAACAUUUGGAAACAGAUGCUAAUACCGCAUAGAUCCAAGAACCGCAUGGUUCUUGGCUGAAAGAUGGCGUAAGCUAUCGCUUUUGGAUGGACCCGCGGCGUAUUAGCUAGUUGGUGAGGUAAUGGCUCACCAAGGCGAUGAUACGUAGCCGAACUGAGAGGUUGAUCGGCCACAUUGGGACUGAGACACGGCCCAAACUCCUACGGGAGGCAGCAGUAGGGAAUCUUCCACAAUGGACGCAAGUCUGAUGGAGCAACGCCGCGUGAGUGAAGAAGGCUUUCGGGUCGUAAAACUCUGUUGUUGGAGAAGAAUGGUCGGCAGAGUAACUGUUGUCGGCGUGACGGUAUCCAACCAGAAAGCCACGGCUAACUACGUGCCAGCAGCCGCGGUAAUACGUAGGUGGCAAGCGUUAUCCGGAUUUAUUGGGCGUAAAGCGAGCGCAGGCGGUUUUUUAAGUCUGAUGUGAAAGCCCUCGGCUUAACCGAGGAAGCGCAUCGGAAACUGGGAAACUUGAGUGCAGAAGAGGACAGUGGAACUCCAUGUGUAGCGGUGAAAUG